rnacentral:lncRNA from 10 species
CUUUCGGGGGAUAUGCUCAAGGUAUUAUAUUAGUAUUAGGGCAGAAAUUUAGUUAUUAUAUUUAUUAUACAAAGUGGAGGAUUAAUUUAGUAGGAGGGUGUUAAGAUUUUUUAGAAAAAUUACAUCAAUCGAGGGGUAGCUGUUGAGGCGUUCAUGGUUAAAAUAUGAUUUCUGGGCUCUGACUGGGCUGCAUUUUAGUCUUUUGUUUUUGGGGUUUGGCAAGGAUACAUUUAGCUAGGUUGAUAGUAAAGUCAGAGAUGCGGGGAGGGGGUAUUGCAGAUUUAAUCGGAAAUAGUUCUUGAAAUUCAGAGUGCAUGCGACGGGCGUGAGCGUCGGUACGGGCGUGAGCGUCGGUACGGGCGUGAGCGUCGGUACGGGCGUGAGCGUCGGUACGGGCGUGAGCGUCGGUACGGGCGUGAGCGUCGGUACGGGCGUGAGCGUCGGUACAGGCUUGCGUGUCUAUUAAUUGUUAUGUCCUUCAAGCAUGAAUUAAGUAACACCUUCUGGUUAUAAUGCCAGCCUGGAAUAUGAAUAUAAGGUUAGCUUCUACAAUUGAUUUGGCAGGAAUCAAAUCCGAGUUCCUCUACUGCGGAUUCGGCAGGGACCAGAAAAGGGAGUAACAGAAGAAAAAACUCACCUUUCUUCAAGAAAUAUUCCAACUGCUCUGCAUCUGUGAACAUGCUCUGCCUUCACUCCUGUCACUGAAGAUCCUUCACUGCACAGCUCUUUACCUCUACUCAACAGCCAAAGGUAAUGAAAUCAAUAUGCUGAAGAUCUGCACUUCCACGUUCAUUUCAGCAUUAUUCACAUUAGCCAAGAUAUGGAAUCAACCCAUGUGUCUACCAAUAG